AUUGAACGCUGGCGGCCGGCCUAACACAUGCAAGUCGAGCGAGCGUCGGACGGGUGUGUAAUGUAUGGGGACUGCCCGAUAGAGGGGGAUAACUACUGUAAACGGUGUCUACUACCGCCUAAUCUCCGAUCACCCAUAUGGGAUUAGCUAGUAGGUGGGGUCAAGGCUCACCGAGGCGACGAUCUCUAGCUGGUCUGAGAGGAUGAUCGGCGGCAGUGGGACUUGGGCACGGCCCAGACUGCUACGGUGGCAGCAGUGGGGAAUGUUGGACAAUGGGCUCAAGCUUGGUGCAGCCAUGGGGGGUGUAGGAUGAAGGCCAUAGAGUUGUAAUGUACUUUCAGCGUUGAGGCGUUACCCGUAGAAGAAGGACCGGCUAACUCCGUGUCAGCAGGCGCGGUAAUAC
rnacentral:rRNA from 1 species